rnacentral:rRNA from 1 species
GACAGAGGGUGCAAACGUUGCUCGGAAUUACUGGGCGUAAAGCGCGUGUAGGUGGAUUGGUGUGUCAGAUGUGAAAUCCCUGGGCUCAACCCAGGAACUGCACCUGAAACUACCAGUCUUGAGUGGUGGAGAGGGAAGUGGAAUUCCUGGUGUAGAGGUGAAAUUCGUAGAUAUCGGGAGGAACACCGGUGGCGAAGGCGGCGACCUGGGUAGAUACUGACGCUGAGGCGCGAAAGCGUGGGGAGCAAACAGG